AGGUCCCUGCUCCAGGAUGGGCUUCCCACAAAGUCACAGCCUCCUUUGGACAUCCCCCUGAUCCAGGGGGCUCCUCCAGGGGCUGCGGGUGGAUCUCUGCUCCCUGUGGAUCUCCAGGGGCUGCAGGUGGAUCUCUGCUCCCUGUGGAUCUCCAGGGGCUGCAGGUGGAUCUCUGCUCCCUGUGGAUCUCCAGGGGCUGCGGGUGGAUCUCUUUACCCCGUAGAUCUCCAGGGGCUGCCCCUGCCUCACCCACACCCAUCCCGUACUUCAGGAGAGUGACUGGAGCAUCCCACGAGUUGUUUAAAAGACUCAACCUCAGCUGCUCUUUUCCCCCAGGCUUUGCUCUGCUCUGACCCGGGGGAACCCGCGGGACGCACCGAGUUCCUUCUAUCCCUCGGAUAAACCAGAUCCAAACCCUUCCCGAGGCAAAGGACAUUCCAGGUGAAACCCCAGGUGGGCAGCUCUGCCUGUCGCUCUCUCAUUCUCGCUCAGCUCUCGGGAAUGGUUCAGUUCCCCCUCUCCUUAAUUCUUCCACCCUUUUUUUUUGUAAGAGCUUCGCGGAGCCGGCUCCGGUCCGGGUCGUUAUUUCCCGCACGGGGACCGGCUCAGGCGGUCGUUGCCAUGGAAAUAGGAAGCCUGGUGUGGAUGGGAAGCCGCGGGAAGCGUGCAGGGCAGGAUUCGAGCACUAGAUGCUGCUCUUGCUCCAGACUGAAAGCGAAGCUAUGAUGUAAAACCAGGAUUGGAACAAGCUGGCUUUUUGAUGUCACUGAGUCCUGAGGGCACUUUAAUGAACUGGGGAUUGGGUGAAAGCCUGAUGAACUUUUGAUGAAUUACAAUCAGAGCACUGGGUUAAUUUUAGAUAAGUAAAAUCCCACAGCAAACUCGCAUUUGCUCCUGUGUCAAAGACUGAAGGACAUUCCUCCACAUUCCCUUUGCUCAAUGCCCUGUGAAAUGAAUUCCAUGGAUUUGCCUCUUUGAAUGGCAAAUCCAUAAACCUGAAACAGAAAGUCGGGACAGAACCAAGCUGGUUGUUUUCUCAGUGGAUUUGAACAGUCCAUGUCCAGGGCAAGGGGAGGUUUGGUGGACGUGGUGCUUGAAAAAACAGAGGUGGUGUUUUCUCUCCUUUGGGGGAGAA